rnacentral:rRNA from 1 species
AUUGAACGCUGGCGGCAUGCCUUACACAUGCAAGUCGAACGGUAACGCGGGGCAACCUGGCGACGAGUGGCGAACGGGUGAGUAAAGCAUCGGAACGUGCCCAGUAGUGGGGGAUAGCCCGGCGAAAGCCGGAUUAAUACCGCAUACGACCUAAGGGUGAAAGCGGGGGAUCGCAAGACCUCGCGCUAUUGGAGCGGCCGAUGUCAGAUUAGGUAGUUGGUGGGGUAAAGGCCUACCAAGCCGACGAUCUGUAGCUGGUCUGAGAGGACGACCAGCCACACUGGGACUGAGACACGGCCCAGACUCCUACGGGAGGCAGCAGUGGGGAAUUUUGGACAAUGGGGGCAACCCUGAUCCAGCCAUGCCGCGUGCGGGAAGAGGGCCUUCGGGUUGUAAACCGCUUUUGUCAGGGAAGAAAUCUUCUGGGUUAAUACCUCGGGAGGAUGACGGUACCUGAAGGAUAAGCACCGGCUAACUACGUGCCAGCCGCCGCAGUAACAC